rnacentral:rRNA from 1 species
GAUGAACGCUGGCGGCGUGCCUAAUACAUGCAAGUCGAGCGAACAGAUAAGGAGCUUGCUCCUUUGACGUUAGCGGCGGACGGGUGAGUAACACGUGGAUAACCUACCUAUAAGACUGGGAUAACUUCGGGAAACCGGAGCUAAUACCGGAUAACAUAUUGAACCGCAUGGUUCAAUAGUGAAAGGCGGCUUUGCUGUCACUUAUAGAUGGAUCCGCGCCGUAUUAGCUAGUUGGUAAGGUAACGGCUUACCAAGGCAACGAUACGUAGCCGACCUGAGAGGGGGAUCGGCCACACUGGAACUGAGACACGGUCAAGACUACUACGGGAGGCAGCAGUAGGGAAUCUUACGCAAUGGGCGAAAGCCUGACGGAGCAACGCCGCGUGAGUGAUGAAGGUCUUCGGAUCGUAAAACUCUGUUAUCAGGGAAGAACAAAUGUGUAAGUAACUGUGCACAUCUUGACGGUACCUGAUCAGAAAGCCACGGCUAACUACGUG